rnacentral:rRNA from 1 species
GGGGAUCUGCCCGAUAGAGGGGGAUAACCACUGGAAACGGUGGCUAAUACCGCAUAACGUCGCAAGACCAAAGAGGGGGACCUUCGGGCCUCUCACUAUCGGAUGAACCCAGAUGGGAUUAGCUAGUAGGCGGGGUAAUGGCCCACCUAGGCGACGAUCCCUAGCUGGUCUGAGAGGAUGACCAGCCACACUGGAACUGAGACACGGUCCAGACUCCUACGGGAGGCAGCAGUGGGGAAUAUUGCACAAUGGGCGCAAGCCUGAUGCAGCCAUGCCGCGUGUAUGAAGAAGGCCUUCGGGUUGUAAAGUACUUUCAGCGGGGAGGAAGGCGAUGGGGUUAAUAACCCUGUCGAUUGACGUUACCCGCAGAAGAAGCACCGGCUAACUCCGUGCCAGCAGCCGCGGUAAUACGGAGGGUGCAAGCGUUAAUCGGAAUUACUGGGCGUAAGGCGCACGCAGGCGGUCUGUUAAGUCAGAUGUGAAAUCCCCGGGCUUAACCUGGGAACUGCAUUUGAAACUGGCAGGCUUGAGUCUUGUAGAGGGGGGUAGAAUUCCAGGU